rnacentral:rRNA from 1 species
GACGAACGCUGGCGGCGUGCUUAACACAUGCAAGUCGAACGGAAAGGCCCUGCUUUUGUGGGGUGCUCGAGUGGCGAACGGGUGAGUAACACGUGAGUAACCUGCCCUUGACUUUGGGAUAACUUCAGGAAACUGGGGCUAAUACCGGAUAGGAGCUCCUGCUGCAUGGUGGGGGUUGGAGAGUUUCGGCGGUUGGGGAUGGACUCGCGGCUUAUCAGCUUGUUGGUGGGGUAGUGGCUUACCAAGGCUUUGACGGGCAGCCGGCCUGAGAGGGUGACCGGCCACAUUGGGACUGAGAUACGGCCCAGACUCCUACGGGAGGCAGCAGUGGGGAAUAUUGCACAAUGGGCGGAAGCCUGAUGCAGCAACGCCGCGUGCGGGAUGACGGCCUUCGGGUUGUAAACCGCUUUCGCCUGUGACGAAGCGUGAGUGACGGUAAUGGGUAAAGAAGCACCGGCUAACUACGUG